rnacentral:rRNA from 1 species
GAUGAACGCUGGCGGCGUGCCUAAUACAUGCAAGUCGAACGGACAGACGAUGAGCUUGCUCCUUUGACGUUAGCGGCGGGCGGGCGAGUAACACGUGGAUCACCUUCUUCUAUUUCGGGGAUAAUUUCGGGAAACCGGUGCUACUACCGGAUAAUAUAUUGAACCGCAUGGUUCAUUAGAGAAUCACGGUUUUGCUGUCUCUUAUAGCUGCUUCCGCGCCGCCUUAGCUAGUUGGUAAGGUAACGGCUUACCAAGGAAACGAUGCGUAUCCGAACUGAGAGGGUGAUCGGCCACACUGGAACUGAGACACGGUCCAGACUCCUACGGGAGGCAGCAGUAGGGAAUCUUGCGCAAUGGGCGGAAGCAUGACGCAGCAAAGCCGCGUGGGUGAUGAAGGCCGUCGGAUCGUAAAACGCUGUUAUUGGGGAAGAAAAAAAGUAGAAUUAAAUAUACACGUCUUGACGGUAACUAAUCAGGAAGCCCCGGCUAACUACGUG